ACAAUCUGUGGUGGGGAGGUGUGCCUGUGAGAGCGUGCUGGUGACACCAGCCUCACCACUCCACAGUGGAGUGCACAGGUGAGCACAAUCAACCUAAUUGGCAGCUUACGCCAGCACCCUAGAACAGUUUGUUUGCUCAGAAUGUUGUCCAGUGGUUUUGCAGAGCAACUAAUGACAGCAGGACAGUGAAAUCAUUUAUCAUUGGACUAAAACACAUGGGGAACGGGAAAAGAUCCAAGAGGCUACAGUUAACUGACGAGCAGCAGAGUUCUGCAAGCGGUGCAGCCGCUGGACAGAGUCCUGACCCAGGAUUACAGUUUAUUCAGAUCCCAAAUACAGAUCAGCAGGACGUGGAGUUUUUCGCAGCUUGCUGCGAGAUUUGUUCUCCCGGGAUGCAAUCGGACUAGACCGGCCAUGGCUUGAAGGCACGGCGUGGGGAAGUUGGGAGAGUGGCCGUGCCAGCAAUCUGAGGGUUCCUGGUUCAAUCCCCACCUUCGACCAUCCUAGUCACGUCCGUUGUGUCCUUGAGCAAGACACUUCACCCUUGCUCCUGAUGGGACUGGUUAGCGCUGUGCAUGGCAGCUCCCGCCAUCAGUGUGUGAAUGUGUGAAUGUGUGUGUGUGAAUGGGUGAAUGUAGAAAAUAGUGUCAAAGCGCUUUGAGUUCCUUAAAAAAAAGGUAGAAAAGCGUUAUACAAGUACGACCCAUUUACCAUUUACAUAUAUAUAUAUAUAUCCAUCCAUCCAUUUU